rnacentral:rRNA from 1 species
UACGUAGGGUGCGAGCGUUGUCCGGAAUUAUUGGGCGUAAAGGGCUCGUAGGCGGUCCAUCGCGUCGGGAGUGAAAAGCUGGGGCUUAACCCCAGUCCUGCUUUCGAUACGGGUGGACUAGAGGUAGGCAGGGGAGAAUGGAAUUCCUGGUGUAGCGGUGAAAUGCGCAGAUAUCAGGAGGAACACCGGUGGCGAAGGCGGUUCUCUGGGACGGUACUGACGCUGAGACGCGAAAGCGUGGGGAGCGAACAGG